UACGGAGGGUGCAAGCGUUAUCCGGAUUCACUGGGUUUAAAGGGUGCGUAGGUGGGCAGGUAAGUCAGUGGUGAAAUCUCCGAGCUUAACUCGGAAACUGCCGUUGAUACUAUUUGUCUUGAAUAUAGUGGAGGUGAGCGGAAUAUGUCAUGUAGCGGUGAAAUGCUUAGAUAUGACAUAGAACAUCGAUUGCGAAGGCAGCUCGCUACGCUAUUAUUGACACUGAGGCACGAAAGCGUGGGGAUCAAACAGG
rnacentral:rRNA from 1 species